UUAUUUAGUAUUAAAAAUACAUCCUAUUUUUAAAGGUACUGUUGGUGAAUUGAACAGAUGUUUUAUGGUCUUAAAACAUCCUGCAUUUACAUAUGCAUCACAUGCAUCAUCAGCAUAUACAGCUCUGAAAAAAAUAAGAGACCACUUAAAAAUGAUUUUACCAAAUUGAAAAGAGGAAGAUGGAUCAUCACAUGCCAUCAGAGCAAGCUGAAAUGCCUAAUUGUUUUUUUUCCAAAAGCAGUGUGUAAGACUGGUGGAGGAGAACAUGCCAAGAUGCGUGAAAACUGUGACUAAAAACCAGGAUUAUUCCACCACAUAUUGAUUUCUAAACUCUUAAAACUUUAUGAAUAUGAACUUGUUUUCUUUGCAUUAUUGGAGAUCUGAAAGCUCUGCAUCUUUUUUGUUAUUUCAGCCAUUUCUCACUUUCUGAAAAAAAAAUGCUCUAAAUGACAAUAUUUUUAUUUGGAAUUUGAGAGAAAUGUUGUCUGUAGUUUAUAGAAUAAAACAACAAUGUUCAUUUUACUCAAACAUAAACCUAUAAAUAGAAAAAUCUGAAGUGGUUUCUAUUUUUUUCCAGAGCUGUAAGUAAUUACCACAGUCCCUUUAGCAUGUUAAAAAGUUUAAAACUUUUAAAACAUUGAUGCCUAUUUUCUGUUUGUAGUGGGCCAGGGGCCAAAAGCAUUUUUUUUUAAUUCACUAAAAAUAUACUUUAAGUAAAGUAAAAAAAACUGUAAAGCACAACACAAUAUUUUGUUAAUAAAAUAUGCUUAAUUAAAAUCAUAUCAUAUAUAUGCAUUUAUAAAAAUGUUUUUCACUUUGUGUGUGGGGGGUGGUUUAUAGUCACAUUUGGGCAGCCCUGUUUUAUAAGUACUAAACUUGACAUGAUUUGUGUUCUUGUUUUUAUUCACCACCUCAGACUCUUAGAUCUCAGACAUUUUUCAGAGAUUUUCAGCGAGUUUCUGUAGAAUUUUACAUUUUACACUAAACCUCAUUCAAUGACUACUUUACGUCUUGAUUUACUUAUACAGAAGAUUUGAAACGGGUAGAAUUCCUCUAUAAGGUAUAAUGUGAGUAUGAAUGUGUCUGUGUGUGUGUGUCUGUGUGUGUAUGUAUGUAUGUACGCAUGUGUGUGUCCAUAUUUAUGCAAGGUACAGCACAUACUGUGUCUGGUUCAGAGUAGAGCAUGUGGGAUCUCAGUAGCUGAAACUAUUUCCAGUAAUUAUCGUUCUGAUUCUUAAACGUUGCGUCAGUCAGCUGGCGAAUAAUAAGGAAUAUAGAGUAGGAUAUCUGAAAAACAGUACGGACGUAGGGUAGGACUUUUUGCUACGACCAGUGCCCUUUACUCGCGUCUUCAGAGUCUGAGGAAUUGUUGACAAUGUGAAUCCAGUCUAAUCCCUUUAGUCAAGGCAAAGCUCUGUCUGCGUUCUUAAGUUCUACAUAACGGUCUCCUCAUCCACCACAACCAUACAGAACAGUUUCCAUACACUCAUAUCUGAGCUGGCCAACUCCAUUGGAUCCUGGUGGUCCUCAAGCUACUCAAUUUGUAACCAAUGAGAUCCUGUAAACCACACUGCUUUACUUUCAUGACUACAAUACUGUCGUAACUAACAUCAGUUUCAAAGGCCCUAAACUAGAACCCUGUGGGAUUCCUCAAACUAAUUCACAAUGGUUUCUGCAUAAGGAUUGAUGACUGAAUAAUAAACUACAAUAAUAUCCCAGUGAACUGAGUUCCAAAGGCCCUAAACUAGACACUCACAAUAGUUUUAACAUAAGGAUUGAUAAAUGAAUAAUAAACUACAUUAAUGUCCUAGUUAACCAAGUUUUAAAAGCCCUAAAUUAGAUCCCUGUGGGACUCAUUAAACAAAUUCACAAUCGUUUCUGCAUAAGGAUUGAUGACUGAAUAAUAAACUACAAUAAUAUCCCAGUGAACUGAGUUCCAAAGGCCCUAAACUAGACACUCACAAUAGUUUUAACAUAAGGAUUGAUAAAUGAAUAAUAAACUACAUUAAUGUCCUAGUGAACUAAUUUUGAAGACCCUAAACAAGAACCCUGUGGGAUUCCUCAAACAAAUUCACAAUGGUUUCUGCAUAAGGAUUGAUGACUGAAUAAUAAACUACAUUAAUGUUGUCCUAGUAAACUGAGUUUCAAAGGCCAUAAACUAGAACCCUGUGGGACUUAUCAAACAAAUUCACAAUUGUUUCUGUAUAAGUGUUGAUGAAUGAAUAAUAAACUACAUUCAUGUUCUAGUGUACAAAGUUUCAAAGGCCCUAAACUAGAACCCUGUGGGACUCCUCAAACUAAUUCACAAUUGUUUCUGCAUAAGAAUUGAUGAAGGAAUAAUAAACUACAAUAAUAUCCCAGUGAACUAAGCUCCAAAGGCCCUAAACUAGAACUCUGUGGGAUUCCACAAACUAAUUCACUGAAUAAUAAUCCAAGGGUUUAAGGGGUAAAUACCCUGUAAAUUGUGGAGCCACAUAUGUAAAAUUAUGGUUGUAGAUCAACUCUGACAGACCAUCUCCAGGAAAAGGGAUUUGGUGGCAAAUCGUGCACUUCAUCACAAGUUUUAAAUAUGGUUGUAUACUUUAGGUUUGUUGUUUUUUUAAAAGGGGAAUUCAAUGAGCAUUUACUGUUUCUCUGUAGUUUUGUUCAGAACAUUGUUUGGUCGGACUGGGUGCGUUAGAUUUGUUAGGCAGUGCUUCAGUUCUGUCAAAAGCCGGCUCUCCAGGCUGCUCAGGCUUUAGGGUGUAACAGGGUUGACGUUUGUGGUGAGUCUCGUAGCAACUGAGGCCACGUUUUGAGGCCAUUGUUCAGGGACAUGUUGAGGCCUGUACAGUUACCUCUUUGAAUCAGUGUUAGUACUGAAACUGGGCCUUUCGCUGCUUCAUUCUCAUAACAGUACAUUCCCCACCCUUGAGGAAACACCCCAGCAUUCUUCAACCUUGCCUGCUGUAACUGUAGUGUAGGAUUUGCUGUUAUUGGGUGGGUAGAGUGUUCUCUCUCUCUCUCUCUCUCUCUCUCUCUGACCAUUCAGGCUAAGCACAGCCACUAUGAUCAGGACAUUGCCGGUUCGAAUCCUGUUCAUGCAGCUUGCCAUCAGCUACUGGAGCCCUGAGAGAGCACAAUUGGUCUUGCUCUCUCUGGGUAGGUAGAUGGCGCUCUCUCCUCUCAUCACUCUAAAGGGUGAUGUCUCUCAGCACAAGGCGUCUGUGAGCUGAUGUCGCUGCGCUUUCCUCCGAGCACGCUGUGAUGCUAGAGUGCAAUGCUGCAUCAGCAGCAGAUGAAAAAGAGGCGGUGUCUGACUUCACAUAUAUCGGAGGAAGCAUGUGCUAGUCUUCACCCUCCUGGUCUUAAUGAGUGGGUUGGUCAGUUGGCCGUGUAAAUUGGGGAGAAACAACUCUUUAAGCACCCAAUACGUCAUCAGGAGCUCUAAAGUUCAGUAACCUAGCUGCUGCUGCUGGUUAACUAGCUAACUUUAGGCUUUAUUGUAUGUCUUCAGAAAGGGGGCAGGUGGUGCAGAAAUUAAUUAUUAUUGUCCAUUCCAUAAAUCCUCUAUGAUGGGAAGCUGAAAUAAUUAGCUUUGAUUCACUUUUAUUUUAUUUUUCCCUGCCGCCUUAAAUGCUGCAGCCCCUGCAGUCUGUUCCCUGAUUUAAGGUGGAACGGGAAUUUAGCUAGUUAGCUAGCUAACUACUGAGACAAACUACUAGCGAUCUUUUUUUUUUCCUUGUUAGGAAGAAUUCAGCCAUAAAACAUUGAAACUACACAUGUUAAUAUAGUGCUACUCGUCACUUUUAAGUCUGCGAAAAAUAUUUCACACUUCUACUUAUUGAUAAAACUCUUGCAUCCGGACUGCUUUUGAAAAAACAGGAGGACCAGUGAGUUUUUUUGUUUUUGCUUUUUCAGUCACAUGACAUUGCGUUCAGUAGCUCCUCCAUUUCCACUGGCUGUUGUGUUUAUAUGGAUCUUCGUGAAAAUGCCCAAAGUGUAAUUACAGUGCAUGGUAGUGGACAAAUAGCUAUUUUAUUAAACGCGAGGUGACUAAACUGAGAGAUGUGAGUUCGGACGGGACUAAAAUUACCGGAGGACCACGGAGUUCAGUGAAAAACAGUAGGUAAUUCAGCUUGUAAUUUUCUCAGAGGACGUCUGCAAAAAAAAAACUGCCAAGAGUCAGUGCAUGGGGGGGUAAAAAUGUGGGGUAAAAUUUGAAACCAAAAGAACUUCACACUCUAUUACAGACACAGUUCCUAUGUAGCAUGCUUAAAUAACUAUUUGACCUGUUAAACCAUAUGUUUAUCACUCAGUUAACAAUCCUUAUGCAGAAACUGUUUUUAUUAACAGUAUGAAUUAGUAUAUCUUGUAUUGUACCACAGGGGGUUCUAUUUUAGGGCCAAUAAAACGAUAAAAAGACAAUUGUCACAGUAAUGUAGUCAUGAGAGGGUGUGAAUUGUGAACUACAGGCUCCAAGGGUUAAAACACCUUUAUGUGUGAGACUGCAGAUACAGGUCAGUUUGGAGACCGGUGCCGUAUUCCUUUAAGCUGCUGAGUUUUUGUUUUUUUCUACUUUCCACUCAACGCUUUUUGUUUUCAUUUGCUUCCCAGUAUUACGCUACUUUUGCUGAUAUGUCUUGAAGGUACAAGGUUUAGAGUGGUGUAUGUGUGAGAGAAAGUGUGUGUGUGUGUGUGUGUGUGUAUAUAUGUGUGUGUGUGUGUAUAUAUGUGUGUGAGUAUAAGUGUGUGUGUCAGAGUCAGAGCUUUGUCUUUUUUAUCCAUAACUAUGCAGUGAAUAAGUACAAGGGAAGAAUUUCCUACAUGGUAACACUCCUCCUCCUUCUCCUCCAAAUGGUAAUGCUACCUAUUUCAAGUGUGUGUGUGUGUGUGUGUGUGUGCGCGUGUGUGUGUGUGUGUGUGCGCACAUGUGUGUAUGUUUUGUUUGUGUCCUUUAAACCUAAACUUCCUGUCCGACUGUCUCUCUUUCUGCCUUGUAGCACUUUGCAAAAGGCAAUUCAUCAUAUUUUGUAAUAUUUACCAAGGUGUGAAUAAAAACUUGAUGGUUGCAUCAGUCAUAAA